rnacentral:rRNA from 1 species
CCAGACUCCUACGGGAGGCAGCAGUGGGGGAUAUUGCACAAUGGGGGGAACCCUGAUGCAGCGACGCCGCGUGGGUGAAGGAGCGUUUCGGCGCGUAAAGCCCUAUCGGCAGGGAAGAAGGAGGACGGUACCUGACUAAGAAGCCCCGGCUAACUACGUGCCAGCAGCCGCGGUAAUACGUAGGGGGCAAGCGUUAUCCGGAUUUACUGGGUGUAAAGGGGGCGCAGACGGCAGCGCAAGCCAGGAGUGAAAGCCCGGGGCCCAACCCCGGGACUGCUCUUGGAACUGCGCGGCUGGAGUGCAGGAGGGGCAGGCGGAAUUCCUGGUGUAGCGGUGAAAUGCAUAGAUAUCACACAGAACACCGAUUGCGAAGGCAUCUGACGAAUCGGAGAUUGACGCUGAUGCACGAAAGCGUGGGUAUCGAACAGGAUUAGAUACCCCCGUA